rfam:Acetivibrio ethanolgignens strain ACET-33324 ACET-33324.Scaf22, whole genome shotgun sequence.
UGAUACAAGGGCGAAAAGCCUGUGCGUUUUAUGCUAGCAUAAAAAAGCACAGAUUUGGAGCCCGCAACGUCUGAGAAAGUAGCCCGUUAGGGCGGAUUUCGAAGAGGUUAGAGCUGUGGGAGUGCGUAGCACGGAGCAGCUCGUAGUAUCA